GACAGAGGGUGCAAACGUUGCUCGGAAUUACUGGGCGUAAAGCGCGUGUAGGUGGAUUGGUGUGUCAGAUGUGAAAUCCCUGGGCUCAACCCAGGAACUGCACCUGAAACUACCAGUCUUGAGUGGUGGAGAGGGAAGUGGAAUUCCUGGUGUAGAGGUGAAAUUCGUAGAUAUCAGGAGGAACACCAGUGGCGAAGGCGGCUUCCUGGACACCAACUGAUGCUGAGACGCGAAAGCGUGGGGAGCAAACAGG
rnacentral:rRNA from 1 species